AUAAGCCCACGACCCGGCAUCGGGAAGAGGGAAAAGGAGCAAUCCGCUUUGAGAUGGCCUCGCGUCCGAUUAGCUAGUUGGUGAGGUAACGGCCCACCAAGGCGACGAUCGGUAGCCGGACUGAGAGGUUGAACGGCCACAUUGGGACUGAGACACGGCCCAGACUCCUACGGGAGGCAGCAGUGGGGAAUAUUGCACAAUGGGGGAAACCCUGAUGCAGCGACGCCGCUGGAGGAAGAAGGUCUUCGGAUUGUAAACUCCUGUUGUUGAGGAAGAUAAUGACGGUACUCAACAAGGAAGUGACGGCUAACUACGUGCCAGCAGCCGCGGUAAAACGUAGGUCACAAGCGUUGUCCGGAAUUACUGGGUGUAAAGGGAGCGCAGGCGGGAUGACAAGUUGGAAGUGAAAUCCAUGGGCUCAACCCACGAACUGCUUUCAAAACUGUUUUUCUUGAGUAGUGCAGAGGUAGGCGGAAUUCCCGGUGUAGCGGUGGAAUGCGUAGAUAUCGGGAGGAACACCAGUGGCGAAGGCGGCCUACUGGGCACCAACUGACGCUGAGGCUCGAAAGUGUGGGUAGCAAACAGGAUUAGACACCCUGGUAGUCCACACCGUAAACGAUGAUUACUAGGUGUUGGAGGAUUGACCCCUUCAGUGCCGCAGUUAACACAAUAAGUAAUCCACCUGGGGAGUACGACCGCAAGGUUGAAACUCAAAGGAAUUGACGGGGGCCCGCACAAGCAGUGGAGUAUGUGGUUUAAUUCGACGCAACGCGAAGAACCUUACCAAGUCUUGACAUCCCUUGACGGUGCUGGAAACAGUACUUCUCUUCGGAGCAAGGAGACAGGUGGUGCAUGGUUGUCGUCAGCUCGUGUCGUGAGAUGUUGGGUUAAGUCCCGCAACGAGCGCAACCCUUAUGGUCAGUUACUACGCAAGAGGACUCUGGCCAGACUGCCGUUGACAAAACGGAGGAAGGUGGGGAUGACGUCAAAUCAUCAUGCCCUUUAUGACUUGGGCUACACACGUACUACAAUGGCGUUAAACAAAGAGAAGCAAGACCGCGAGGUGGAGCAAAACUCAGAAACAACGUCCCAGUUCGGACUGCAGGCUGCAACUCGCCUGCACGAAGUCGGAAUUGCUAGUAAUCGUGGAUCAGCAUGCCACGGUGAAUACGUUCCCGGGCCUUGUACACACCGCCCGUCACACCAUGAGAGCCGGGGGGACCCGAAGUCGGUAGUCUAACCGCAAGGAGGACGCCGCCGAAGGUAAAACUGGUGAUUGGGGUGAAGUCGUAAGAAGGU
rnacentral:rRNA from 1 species